rnacentral:rRNA from 1 species
AUUGAACGCUGGCGGCAGGCCUAACACAUACAAGUCGAACGCGUGGCGGACGGGUUAGUAAUGUCUGGGCAACUGCCUGACGGAGGGGGCUAAGUACUUGAAACGGUCACUCAUACCGCCUACCCUCCGUUGUGCUCUGAUGGGAUUAGCUAGUAGGUGGGGUAACGGCUCACCUCGGCGACGCUCCCCAGCUGGUCUGAGAGGAUGACCAGCAACACUGGAACUGAGACACGGUCCAGACUCCUACGGGAGGCAGCAGUGGGGAAUAUUGCACAAUGGGCGAAAGCCUGAUGGAGCCAUGCCGCGUGUAUGAAGAAGGCCUUCGGGUUGUAAAGUACUUUCAGCGGGGAGGCGUGACCCGCAGAAGAAGCACCGGCUAACUACGUGCCAGCAGCCGCGGUAAUUC